rnacentral:tRNA from 1 species
GCGGAUGUGGCGGAAUUGGCAGCCGCGCCAGCCUUAGGAUCUGGUGGGCGACCGUGGGGGUUCGAGUCCCUUCAUCCGCA